rnacentral:misc_RNA from 1 species
GGCGUUCAAUCAAGCAGAAGAGACAUGAGAAUGGCCUUCAUUCCCAUUCCUUUCUCUCUUUUGGCCUCCAAGUGGUUAUAAAAAAACCAAAUAAUCAAAGCCUUCUCGUUAUAGGUCCCUGAAACCUAUUUUUCCCUGUGUUUCAACUUUCAAGUUGAGUAGUUGGCAAGCAUCGCAAGGAGUUGGAAUUAAAGCCAGAACCACACCCCUAGUCUCUCAUUCCCUAUAGCUGAAAAGCAGAAGCCUUACUACACAUAAAAAUGCUCCUUUGAACCGAUUAAUAAAAAAAUUUCAGCAAAAAAAAGAAAAAAGUGCUGAAGAAUAUGAGAGUAUAUCAGAAGUCACAGCCUAGCUGCAUUGCAGUAUAAAUUCAAUCUGAAGCAAGCCAAACAACCUAUUUCCUUUUAGCAAUGUAAUUCACUCCAUCAGUUGCCUAUUCACAUUAACAUGCAUGUCGAUGAUUUAACAUCAGUACAUUUAGUAAACAAUAAUUGAAACUUAAAACAGUACAGUUAAUUAUACAAUCACUAACAGCCUCGCAAAACCCAGCUCAAAAGCUCACG